AUUCAUAAACAUUAAACUAGUGGGGGGGGGAGGGCUUCAGAGCGCCGUCGGUUGCCCGAAGGUUAACUGCUUAACCUGUUAACCUUCAGCUCCACAAGGGGGCUCACAGCUGAAAAUGACAUGCCUGGAUAACAAUAAAUACAGCUCCUGAGAACAGUGUACCACAGGCACAAUUAAGGUAUCUUUGGAAAGAAGACAGUUGGGACUUUACUAACAAUCAAUCAGAUUUGAUAAUACUCAAACAGAAAAAAAGUUAUAAAAGUUAAAAGUGCCUCAAAAAUAAUGUGCGCCACAAAAAUGUUUUAGUAUUUCAUGUACAAAUAUAUAAAAAUAGACCUGGAGUAAUUCAGAUAGAUAAAGGAUUGAAAGCAACAAGUCUCAUCAGUUUAUAUUUCAAAUUUGAGGAAGAUAUAAUGAACAAUGGGGUUCCUGCAAACUUUUUUCCAAGACUAUGUCAGUUCCCUUUCUCCCUCCCCCUGCCUGAGGCACAUCCCCAGAAAUAACAUGCCCAAACUAAAAUAUUUGCAGUUGCUCAACUAUUUGCACUACAUGCACAAUUUAGACAUGUUUAAAAAGAAGACACUUUAGAGUGUAUUACCCAACUGUUAAAGUUGAAAAAACUUACACAGACAAAAAGUUAUAGAAUUUAAAGUGUCUUGAAGAUAAUUUAUACUGCAUGUAAUAUUUUACAAUUUCAUGUAAAAAUAAAUGAAAACAAACCUGUAGGAAUCCAGUUAGGUAAUUGAUUGAAAGACAUAAGUCUCAUCAGUUUAUAUUUCAAAUUUGAGGAAGAUAUUAUGAAAAAUGAGAUUCCUACAGUAUUUUUUCCAAGACUAUGUCCAGGUACCAAGAAACCUCCUUGGAUACAUCAAAAAGCAACCUAAUGACCAAAUGUUAUGCAGGGCACUGCAAGCUAUUUCAGUCAAUUCAUAAAAUAAUGCAAUUAUAAAAUAAUACACACAACCAUUAGACUUUAUGCAAGUGAUUUAUUUGCACAACAGAACAAAAAAAAUAUAUAUGUAAAAUACAUAAGUAAAAUAUUAUGAAAUAUAAAAAAUAAAUAACUGAGGUUCUUUGCAAUAGAAAAUACAAGUGAUAUAAAUACUGUACUUUGUUGGCUUGGCCUUCAUAUAUUGCUUUAGUCCAUUCCUAGCUUUUUAUGCCACCAUCCUCUUGUGAAUUGCAAUGUUCUGAAAAGUAUGGAAAAAGUGAAGAAUAGUGAAGAAACUGAGAGCUUGCAUCUCUGGCUGGUGCUUGGAUGCCAUUCUUCAUCUGAAGAUUCAACUUGAUGGCUGUUGCAUGGGAAAGAAUGGAAAGAUAAUUAGCACUGCAUGUCAAGUAAAUAAUUCUGUUUAGUUUCUAUAUAGCUGGCCAUUCAUUCAACAAUCAAACUGAUGGGCAGUCGUUUACACAGCAUUCGUACUAAAGCUCAUCCAUUCAAUCAACAAUCAAUGGCCAGUGAUAUAGACAGCAUUCAUAUGGAUGACCAGACAAAGAACCAACAAUCACACUGAUGGCCGGCCAUCAGACAGGAAUGUGGCAUUUUGAAAGCAUACAACUCCUUCCUAUAUAGCACAUAUUUUCUGCAAUUCUUCCCACCAAUUUCUGCAAAAAACAAAAAAAAAAAAACAA